UACGUAGGGUGCAAGCGUUGUCCGGAAUUAUUGGGCGUAAAGAGCUCGUAGGCGGUCUGUCGCGUCUGCUGUGAAAACUCAGGGCUUAACCCUGAGCUUGCAGUGGGUACGGGCGAGACUAGAGUGGCGGUAGGGGAGACUGGAAGUUCCUGGUGUAGCGGUGAAAUGACGCAGAUAUCGAGGAGGAACACCGGUGGCGAAGGCGGGUCUCUGGGCCGUAACUGACGCUGGAGGAGCGAAAGCAUGGGGAGCGAACAGGA
rnacentral:rRNA from 1 species